UCCUGCCCAGUGACAUAGUUCAACGGCCGCGGUAUCCUAACCGUGCAAAGGUAGCAUAAUCACUUGCCUAUUAAUUGUAGGCUAGAAUGAAAGGAAUAACGAAAUAGACCCUGUCUCUAUAAGCAAACUAAAAAUUAAUCUCUAACUGAAGAGUGUUAGAUAUAGUCGGAGGACAAGAAGACCCUAUAGAGCUUUAUUUUAACAAAGACCACAAAUCUUUACUAGAAUUCGGUUGGGGCGACCAAGGAAACAUAAAUCAUCCUAAGUAUAAAGACAUAUAAGUCCAAUAAAGACCCUUAUUAAAGAUCAUAAAAACAAGCUACCUUAGGGAUAACAGGCUAAUCCUGCUAAAGAGUCCUUAUCAACAGCAGGGGUUGGCACCUCGAUGUUGGCUUAGGGAAACUAUAUGACGCAAAAGUCAUAAAAAGAUGGUUUGUUCAACCAAUAAAACCCUACAUGAGCUGAGUUCAGACCGGCGUAAGCCAGGUUAGUUUCUAUCCCCGAUAAAAAAUCUAUCUAUAGUACGAAAGGACCUAGAUAAGAAUAAUUAUUAUACUUAAAUGAAUUUAUAUAAUAUCUCAAUAAUUUUAAUACAACCAUAAACUAUGAAGUGAGUUGGCAGAAUAGUGCAAUCGACUUAGGAUCGAUUUAUGGGCGUGCCCACCCACUAAUGCCACUUAGUUUAUUUAGAAUAGUUAAUUUGCACUUAACAGGAGAGGUUUUUCAGUAGCAGCCUGAUGUUUUGGAAACACUAGACCUUGAACGUCUACUAAAGAUGUUCGACUCAUC
rnacentral:misc_RNA from 1 species